CAGCAGCCGCGGGAAAACGGAGGGUGCAAGCGUUGUCCGGAUUUAUUGGGUUUAAAGGGUGCGCAGGCGGGGGGGUCAGUCCGCGGUGAAAGACGAUCGCUCAACGAUUGCAGUGCCGUGGAUACUGCCCUUCUUGAAUCUGGUUGAGGCCGGUGGAAUUGACCGUGUAGCGGUGAAAUGCAUAGAUAUGGUCAAGAACUCCAAUUGCGAAGGCAGCCAGCUGGGCCAGCAUUGACGCUCAGGCACGAGAGUGCGGGGAUCAAACAGGAUUAGAUACCCCUGUAGUCCCUGUCUCUUAUAC
rnacentral:rRNA from 1 species